UAAGGAAUAACGAUGCAUCGUUA
rnacentral:siRNA from 1 species